ACUGCUCAGUAACACGUGGAUAACCUGCCCUGCGGUGGGAAAUAACCCCGGGAAACUGGGGAUAAUGUCCCAUAGGCUACGGAUGCUGGAAUGCUCUGUAGCUCAAAGAUUUAUCGCCACAGGAUGGGUCUGCGGCCGAUUAGGUAGUUGUUGGGGUAACGGCCCAACAAGCCUUUGAUCGGUACGGGUUGUGGGAGCAAGAGCCCGGAGAUGGAUUCUGAGACACGAAUCCAGGCCCUACGGGGCGCAGCAGGCGCGAAAACUUUACAAUGCGGGAAACCGUGAUAAGGGAACUCCGAGUGUCCGUAAAUGCGGACUGUCCGUAUGUUUAAAAAGCAUGCGAAGAAAGGGCCGGGCAAGACCGGUGCCAGCCGCCGCGGUAAUACCGGCGGCUCGAGUGGUGGCCACUAUUACUGGGCUUAAAGCGUUCGUAGCUGGGUCGUUAAGUCUCUUGGGAAAUCUACCGGCUUAACCGAUAGGCGUCCAAGGGAUACUGGCGAUCUAGGGACCGGGAGAGGUGAGGGGUACUCCAGGGGUAGGAGUGAAAUCCUGUAAUCCUUGGGGGACCACCUGUGGCGAAGGCGCCUCACCAGAACGGCUCCGACAGUGAGGGACGAAAGCGGGGGGAGCAAACCGGAUUAGAUACCCGGGUAGUCCCAGCCGUAAACGAUGCGCGUUAGGUGUAUCGAUGACCACGAGUCAUCGAGGUGCCGAAGGGAAACCGUGAAACGCGCCGCCUGGGAAGUACGGUCGCAAGGCUGAAACUUAAAGGAAUUGGCGGGGGAGCAC
rnacentral:rRNA from 1 species